GGGCCACCCCCAGCAACACUGCCUCACGCGUUACUGUGACUAGGGCCACAUCUUCGGCACGAAUUCCUCCUUUCCCACCGAAACUUCCAGCCAGCACCCAGAACGAGGGAGGCUUUCUACAGCAGCUCCGCGUGGGAGCCCGACUCUUAGAGUCAGAAGACCGUGCCCUGGGAGGUAACCUUCUCAUCUGACCUGACAGAGCUCAACGUGCCAGUGAUUGUCGGAGAGGCUUCGGUCCUAUCCCUGCUUCUGCCCUUGACCCUUUGCUGCCUAUUCUCAAACCUGCAUCCAGAGCAUCCUUUGGAAAAGUCCAGGAGAACUCCAACUUACUCUGUCCUAUCCUACGCAAGAUGCCCAACUCUUACAACAGGGUUUGGCCCAGAGUAGGUGCUCUGUGAAUGCUUCCUGAAUGAACGGAGCACCUUCAGGACAAGAUCAGUUCACAUCAAUUAUGUUUGCCCCGACUUUCUAACCUGAAUAUUUCAAUCUAUAGAAAAAAAUGAAAGAAAUGUACAUUCUUAUGCCAUUAAUCUGGAUUCACCAACUAUUCAAUUUUGCUCAAUUUAUGUACUCUCUUUACUAUCAACGUGUACACACACACAUACACACACACACACACACACACACACAUUUCUUUCCAGAACCAUCUGAAAAUAAAGUACAUUUUCACCUCUAAAUACUUCAGCAUAUAUCUCUUGAGAAUAAGGACAUUCUAUAUAAAAAAUACCAUUUUCCUACCCAAGAAAAGUAAUGUUGAUGUAACAUUAUAAACUAAUAUACAGUCUAUAUUCAGGGUCUCUAAAUUGCUCCAGUGAUGUCCCUUACAGAUUUGUUUUCAAUCUGAGAGCCAAUCAAAGGUCACUGAUUGCGUUUACCUAGGACAGUCCCUUGUCACUCUGCCUUUCAUGACACUGAUGUUUUUGCAAAGUUCAGGCUAGCGGUCUUGAAGAAUGUCCCACAGGGGAUGUCUAGUCAUAGCACCAGAUGCAAAACUUAAUCUAACUUAUUCUUCUAUUCUGUGUGUUCUACUAACCAGUUUAAUAUACAGUGAAUUCGUUUUUUGUUUGUUUAAAUUUUUAGGUUUGCUCCUUUUCAUCUUUUUGCCUAAAUUUUAAUUAUUUGCCUAUGUAAAACAUUUAAAUAAUUCAAAAGUCAACAUCAAACAAAAAGAUAUGCUCAGAGCUUCACUCUUAUCCUAAACUUUUCAGUCCUUUCACCCCCUUUCAAUAGGUCACUUUUUCCAUAAUUCUUUAUCUUUUCUGUUUCUUUUUAUAAA